rnacentral:rRNA from 1 species
GAGUUUGAUCCUGGCUCAGGACGAACGCUGGCGGCGCGCCUAACACAUGCAAGUCGAACGGAGCUGAGAGGAGCUUGCUUUUCUUAGCUUAGUGGCGAACGGGUGAGUAACGCGUGAGUAACCUGCCCUGGAGUGGGGGACAACAGUUGGAAACGACUGCUAAUACCGCAUAAGCCCACGAUCCGGCAUCGGAUUGAGGGAAAAGGAUUUAUUCGCUCUAGGAUGGCCUCGCGUCCGAUUAGCUAGUUGGUGAGGUAAUGGCCCACCAAGGCGACGAUCGGUAGCCGGACUGAGAGGUUGAACGGCCACAUUGGGACUGAGACACGGCCCAGACUCCUACGGGAGGCAGCAGUGGGGGAUAUUGCACAAUGGGGGAAACCCUGAUGCAGCGACGCCGCGUGGAGGAAGAAGGUUUUCGGAUUGUAAACUCCUGUCGUUAGGGACGAUAAUGACGGUACCUAACAAGAAAGCACCGGCUAACUACGUGCCAGCCGCCGCGGUAAUAC